rnacentral:rRNA from 1 species
AUUUAACGCUGGCGGCAGGCCUAACACAUGCAAGUCGAGCGAGCGGCGGACGGGUGAGUAAUGUCUGGGAAACUGCCUGAUGGAGGUGGAUAACUACUGGAAACGGUAGCUAAUACCGCAUAACAUCAGAUGUGCCCAGAUGGGCUUAGCUAGUGGGUGGGGUAAUGGCUCACCUAGGCGACGAUCCCUACCUGGUCUGAGAGGAUGACCAGCCAGACUGGAACUGAGACACGGUCCAGACUCCUGAGGGAGGCAGCAGUGGGGAAUAUUGCACUAGGGGCGCAAGCCUGAUGCAGCCCUGCCGCGUGUGUGAAGAAGGCCUUCGGGUUGUAGAGCACUUUCAGCGGGGCGGCGUUACCCGCAGAAGAAGCACCGGCUAACUCCGUGCCAGCAGCCGCGGUAAUAC